rnacentral:rRNA from 1 species
GACGAACGCUGGCGGCGUGCUUAACACAUGCAAGUCGAACGGAAAGGCCCUGCUUUUGUGGGGUGCUCGAGUGGCGAACGGGUGAGUAACACGUGAGUAACCUGCCCUUGACUUUGGGAUAACUUCAGGAAACUGGGGCUAAUACCGGAUAGGAGCUCCUGCUGCAUGGUGGGGGUUGGAAAGUUUCGGCGGUUGGGGAUGGACUCGCGGCUUAUCAGCUUGUUGGUGGGGUAGUGGCUUACCAAGGCUUUGACGGGUAGCCGGCCUGAGAGGGUGACCGGCCACACUGGGACUGAGAUACGGCCCAGACUCCUACGGGAGGCAGCAGUGGGGAAUAGUGCACAGUGGGCGGAAGCCUGAUGCAGCAACGCCGCGUGCGGGAUGACGGCCUUCGGGUUGUAAACCGCUUUCGCCUGUGACGAAGCGUGAGUGACGGUAAUGGGUAAAGAAGCACCGGCUAACUACGUG